rnacentral:rRNA from 1 species
UCCGUAGGCGGACUAAUAAGUCAGGGGUGAAAUCCCACAGCUUAACUGUGGAACUGCCUUUGAUACUGUUAGUCUUGAGUUAUAUGGAAGUAGAUAGAAUGUGUAGUGUAGCGGUGAAAUGCAUAGAUAUUACACGGAAUACCGAUUGCGAAGGCAGUCUACUACGUAUAUACUGACGCUAAUGGACGAAAGCGUGGGGAGCGAACAGGAUUAGAUACCCUGGUAGUC